rnacentral:rRNA from 1 species
AUUAUUUUUUUAGAUUAUUUUUUAUUGUUGAAAAAAUUAAAAACAAAUUGUUUUUUACAAUAAUUAAAAUUUAUAAUAUUUCAAUUUUUAAUUUUUAGUUUUAAAUAAAAAUUACAAAUAUGAAAAAUAAAAAAAUUUUGUUAUAAAUUAAAUUAAUUUAUUUAUAUUAAAAAUAUUUUUUAUAAUUUUUAUUUUUUUUUAUUUUUUUAAAAAAAAAAUAAUUUAAUUAUAAUUAUUUAUUUAAAUUUAAUAAUUAAAUAUAAAAUUUUUUAUUAAAUAAAUUUAAUAAUAAAUGUUUUUUAAAUUCUUUGAGGUUUUGAUUUUUGAUUUUUUGUUUCUGCUCAUUGUUAAAGAAAAGCACUUUUAGCGUGAUUGGUCAAAGGUAGCGAGGUAAUUUGUUUUUUUAUUGAAUUCUAGUAUGAAUGGAUUUUUUGUUAUUAAAUAUAUUGAUUUUAAAAAGAAUUUUAAAUUUAUUUAAAAAAUAAUAAAUAAAAUAAAACUAAGAAAAGUCUUUAGAAAUUUAUUAUUUAAUUUAAUUAGGGAAAUAAAAUAAUUAAUAUUUUUUUCUUAAUCAAAAAAAAAAAUUUCUCUAGAGUUAACAGAAAUAAAUAUUAAUUUAUUAUUUUUACAUCGAUGUUGUUUUAUUUAAUAUUAAAAAUGAGAAACUUUUGAGUGAGAGACUGUUCUUCUUUUUUUAAUACGUGAAAUUAGUUUAAUUCGUUGUGAAAUAGAGUUGUUUAUCUAGUUUAUUAAAUUAGAAAAUAAAUAGUACGAAAGGAAAAUUAUUUUAAAUUAAAUUUUUUAA